CAACCCCGAAAAUACCAAAUGAUCACCGGGCCUUCCUCAUCCCAAAUAAUCCAAUUUAUCUCCUUCGAAUCACCCUGGAAGUGUUCGAAUUUUGAAUCUAGCCUAACCCUAAAAUUUUGGAUAUUCCCAAUUGAAGUGAUCGUCGAGGUUUUUGGUUUAUUCUGUGGUUAUUCACGUGUUUUUGGUGAAAAUCACAUGCUUAAUCACAGAUUGAACCAAUGUUUGAAAGUUAGAGGUUUCUUUGCUAGUUUUUUCCGACGUUUUUUGUUAGGUAUUUUUCUUGUUUUUUUCUUUAAUUUUUUUGUCCCAUCUGUUUCUAUGCUUCUUAUUUUUCUUUUGGUUCUUUUGUUUUAGGGUCAGUGGGACUUGCAUGAAUCGUUCAUCAGUAUAAUUGUAUUGUUGUUUGUUAGUUGAAGUAGUUCCUUUAGUUUUGGGCUAAGAGUUCUGCGAUUUGUCUGUUGGUUAAUCUUGGGUCAGUCUAAAGUAGUGAGCUCAUGCUAGAUUUGAUUUGGGCUCAUAUAGUUUGAAUGAGCCCAGAAAGGAUUUGAACUAGGCCUGUCAGACCCAUUAGGUUGGACCAAUUGGAUCCGCUUGCUGUCUCAGAGUAAUUAACAUGGGAAACUAAGGGUGGUUUGGGUAAAGUACUAAGGGAUUCUCUCAAGUAACCACCUAAGAAACUUCUAGAAAGAUGAAAAUAGCCUUGCUUGGUUAACAAGCCAAAAUUUAAUGGAUUAAGUAGUAAUAACAAAAAUUAGAAAGGGGUAGAAUUGAGAAAAGGAAAUCUGAUAGUUGCCAUAUUGUUUUUCCUAUAAAACAUUCCAUUCUUGCCUUUCAAGGCAAAUAUUAAUAGAUAGAAAAUCCUGAAAAAAC
rnacentral:lncRNA from 1 species